CGUCAGCUCGUGUCGUGAGAUGUUGGGUUAAGUCCCGCAACGAGCGCAACCCCUGCACUUAGUUGCCAGCGAGUCAUGUCGGGCACUCUAAGUGGACUGCCUCGGAUAACGGGGAGGAAGGUGGGGAUGACGUCAAGUCAGCAUGGCCUUUAUGUCCAGGGCUACACACGUGCUACAAUGGGCGGUACAGAGGGAUGCAAAGCCGCAAGGUGGAGCCAAUCCCUAAAACCGUCCUCAGUUCAGAUUGCAGGCUGCAACUCGCCUGCAUGAAGGCGGAAUCGCUAGUAAUCGCGGAUCAGCUACGCCGCGGUGAAUACGUUCUCGGGCCUUGUACACACCGCCCGUCACAUCACGAAAGCUGGUCGUGCCCGAAGUCGCUGUGCUAACCGCAAGGGGGCAGGCGCCUAAGGUAUGGUCGGUGAUUGGGGUGAAGUCGUAACAAGGUAGCCGUACGGGAACGUGCGGCUGGAUCACCUCCUUU
rnacentral:rRNA from 1 species